rnacentral:lncRNA from 1 species
CCCUCCCAACCUACGCCCCACCCUGAACCAGGGCCCCCCAGAGUUCCAUUCCAGCUCGCCGUCUCCCCACUGGCACCCAAGAUGUCCCAGAGCAGGAGAGCCUUGAGGGAUGGUCCAAGUUACUCACUCCCCGCCUGGUAACAGCGAGGAGAGACCGGUGGAGUACUCGCUUCCCGGAGGAAGUCUGAAAGGCCUGCAGUGGGCCCCUGCUUCUCUCUGGAUCUCUUUUUUUUUGAAAAAUAGGUUUUCGGUCUAGUCAAAGGAAUAAGGACAGCUCAUGCUCCACAACCCCACACCCUCUUUAAGUGCCCAGCAUGCACUUCUUUGAGCAGGGCACUCAGUUUUCUUCCCCUCCCUCCUGGCCGGCCUGGUGGAUCAAAGCGACUUCUGUUUAUUUGCACAUUCAAAUCCAGACUGCCUCCAGUAACCCGAUCCGGGCAGGCGCCAGGAUGGUGCAGGAAGAGCCCCGCUCGCACCCUCCCCCAUCUCACAGCUCUUUGGGCAGAACUGGGUUAGUUCUUGAUUCUUAAUACUCCCAAGCAUAAGGAGAAGCAAAAAUACCUUGUCCCUGUGUUGAGGGUAAGAGUCGAGUCUGAUUCACCUGUGGAACCCCAGCCCGGAGCAGGAGGAGCUCAGGAAAUGCGUGGAGGACGAAUGAAUGAAGAUGGCACAGACUCUGGAGCCCAGAAAGUCACCACCGCUCGCCCAGGACUUCUAGUGGGUAGGCAUCAAACUGCAAGUGCGAGGUAAGGAAAAUCUGAAGGUGGGAGAUCCUGAGGAUUUGGGGGUAGGUCAGGCGCACGGUGCAGAAGGUGAGGUGUGGUCAUCGGACAGCAGAGAACAAGCCACGCAGGGCAGUGGUUGGGCUCUAGAACAAAACCGCCCGCCUCAAGCCGCCGUGCCCCCCGCUGGCCUUCCGCAGUCCAAGCUAUGCUUCAGAGAUGCCAUCUGUCCUCUCCGUAAAACCGUCUAGUGACUUCCCCCUGCCUCCAGGCACCUGUGAGUCACGGAAGCUGGACCUCCUCAAGGACAGGGCCGUCCCGAUUGUCCCCACUGCCCACCACAGGCGACUGCGUCUAGCCGGCACUAAAGCUGUUCAGUAAACAUGGAACUGAAUUAACUGCAAUUGUGGGAGUUAGUUUUGCCACUUCCACAGUGCUCCCUGGAUAGGAUUUUGAUGCUUAAUGUUUUAUCCAUUGUAUAGCUAUUGAUUUAUCUUUGACAGUAGCCAAGGGCCAUGAAAAUCAAAACACUUAUAUUUAUUUUAAAUAUUGAGUCAUAUUCCACCUAACUAGAAUAUAAUUGAGAACCAGAAAGUAAGUAAUGUAUACUGUAGAGCAACCAAAAGUGAUGACGUAAAGGCAAUAUAUUCAAUGUAUUUGAGACAACAAAAUAUUUCCCUUGUAGCUAGGGACAGCCAGUGAAAUAUAAGUGGAAGAAGUGAGUGUCUGGGAACUUUUCCUAAAGGAGGCUGACUCAGGUGGAAAGCAUAGCUUUUUGCCCUUCUCACCUUCCUCUUUGUCCUGGCUGGAAGGUGGUUGUGAUGGCUAGAGACCUAGCAGCCAUCUUGUGACCAUGAAGGAACAUUGAGUUUGAAAGCCUUGUGUUAAGAAGGCCAAACAGAAAAAUAGAAAGUUCUUGGGUCCCUGAUGACUGAGGAACCACAAUGCUAGCCUCAAACUGCCUACUUAUGAAGUUUAUUUCUGUGGGGUAAAAAAAGCUUUAAUUAGAUUAAGCUCUUUAAUUUGGGCAUUUAUUAUUAGGAGUCAGACACAAGUCUCACUAAUACAGUAGCAUGAUUAAAACAAUAAAAAAUAAAUGUCUCUGCCA